rnacentral:rRNA from 1 species
AGAACGAACGCUGGCGGCAGGCCUAACACAUGCAAGUCGAGCGCCCCGCAAGGGGAGCGGCGGACGGGUGAGUAACGCGUGGGAAUUUUUCCUGGAGUACGGAACAACCGAGGGAAACUUCGGCUAAUACCGUAUGAUGCCGAGAGGCCAAAGAUUUAUCGCUCUGGGGUGAGCCCGCGUCAGAUUAGGUAGUUGGUGGGGUAAUGGCCUACCAAGCCUGCGAUCUGUAGCUGGUCUGAGAGGACGAUCAGCCACACUGGGACUGAGACACGGCCCAGACUCCUACGGGAGGCAGCAGUGGGGAAUCUUGCGCAAUGGGCGAAAGCCUGACGCAGCCAUGCCGCGUGAGUGAAGAAGGUCUUAGGAUUGUAAAGCUCUUUCGCUCGUGACGAUGAUGACGUAACGAGAGAAGACGCCCGCUAACUUCGCGCCAGCAGCCG